UACAGAGGUCCCAAGCGUUGUUCGGAUUCACUGGGCGUAAAGGGUGCGUAGGUGGUGAGGUAAGUCGGAUGUGAAAUCUCCGGGCUCAACCCGGAAAUGGCAUUGGAAACUACCUUGCUUGAGGAUUUGAGGGGGGAUUGGAAUACUUGGUGUAGCAGUGAAAUGCGUAGAUAUCAAGUAGAACACCAGUGGCGAAGGCGAGUCCCUGGAAAACUCCUGACACUGAGGCACGAAAGCUAGGGGAGCAAACAGG
rnacentral:rRNA from 1 species